rnacentral:misc_RNA from 1 species
AACGCACAUUGCGCCCGCUAGUAUUCUGGCGGGCAUGCCUGUCUGAGCGUCAUUUCACCACUCGCUACCGGCUUUUGCUGGAGGCGGCGUUGGGGAUCGGCCUCCCGCACCGGGUCGCCGUCCCCUAAAUGAAGUGGCGGUUGCGCUGUGACCUCCUCCGCGUAGUAAAUGCUCUCGCGGGCGGAUAGCAGUGCGGCCACGCCGUAAAACCCCCAACUAUACCAUGGUUGACCUCAGAUCAGGUAGGAAUACCCGCUGAACUUAA